AGGGCUUCUCGUACUAAACUCAUCCUUAACGAGCUUACGAAUUUUUAAAGUAGUUUCUUGCAAUUUUUAUUCAGAAAAGGUGGUUUUAAGGUCUGUUGUUCUCCGUACCAUGCUUCAAGCUCUGAUACCAGCUGUGCCAAGAUCCUCAAAUUUAAACAGAGAAGUCCUCGGAAUUUACACAGAUACCCUCGGUCAAAAGAAAAAAGACACAACGAGCCCUCGGGCGAGGCGGACAGGGUCGAGCGAGGCGGACAGGGUCAGGCGAGACGGACAGGGUCGGGCGAGGCAGACAGGGGUCAGCAGCUCACCUCCGGUCCUACAGACGAGGUUUGGGGUUGGGAAGAAACAAGCCGAAGCGGAACGGCGGAAGGCGGUAAGCUUCAGGCGGCGGCGAGGUUUGGCAGUGCUCCGGCGGCGGUGGUGCUUCUCGUGGACAACAAGCAAGCUCUAGAACUGUGUGAGAGGAUGGUGAAGCUGUUGGUGGUGUCGGC
rnacentral:lncRNA from 1 species